rnacentral:lncRNA from 1 species
CGCUGAGCAGGAUCAUCACUAAAGGAGUCAGCUCAAGGCAGAACAAGAACUGCAGAAAUUUCUUGCUGUCAUAAUUGACAGAAUGGAACAGCUAGGAAUGGAUGCCUACCAGAAUGUCUGCUACUACAGAUGGAUAAAUGUUAUUAUGAAAAUAAAAAUAAAUAUCUUACGGUAUUUGCAGCAUACAUGGUAGAAAAAGAGAUUUCCAAGGAGUUCACACAGAAUGCCAGAAGAACAACUGCAGAGGUGGAAAUCAUUUAUCAGAAGGGGAGAGGAGACAAGGACAAGAUCAGAAGCCGGUUGACAGACAAGGAGACCAUUGAACUGCAAGAGGAAAAAUGGAUACUCCAGCAUCUUAAGAAAUACAGCACCAAAAAGGUCAAACACAGACCUGCUGACCCUACAACAGAAAGGCAGGAAAAAAGAGUUAGAAAGGCUCUUGGCUAAGAAGAACUCUUUUCCACUAACACAAACCAGAAAGCUGUGUGCUGAGACUUACACGAGAAAGAUUCAUUUUGAGGCAAUAGAUUCCUUAUCAGAUGUACAAAACGGAGACACAAGGAGACGAGCUAUGUGCCGAGACUCAAAAGGAGAAAGAAUUAAAUUGAGACAAUGGAUCCCAUAGUAGAUACGAAACAGAGAAGAAACAAUAAAAGCUUUGCCGAGACUCAAGAAGAAAAAGAAGAAAAUUGAGACAUUGGAUCCCUUAGUAGACUGCCAUCUCAAGUGUACACGCAGUGACAUUAACAUGGCGAAAGACGGACGCCAAGGAAAGCAAAGAACUUGGUUUAGCUGUUUCUUUAGUGGAUCUGGUUUUAAAAGUAAGGUAGAUUUACAAGACAAAGCUUAUCUCGAUUGAGUUUCUUGCGAAAGAUUGUUAGGGCGGAGCUCGUAUUAGUGAUUUCACAACAUAAAACUCAAGAGUCAAUAGAAGGCAAUAGGAUUACUAUCAAAUUGUCUAGUAUCUGCCAAAUUGUCUCGUAUCUUGCUAGUUUUCGAGGAAACCGUGAAUUGUAUUUCAAGUUUGUAGCUUUAAAAUUAAGGUAGAAUAUUAGCAUUACAUGGAUUUGUUUUUGCAACCCGAAUUUUCAGCCUGGAAGUCUCGCUAUUAAACUCGUUGAAAUUACUGUCGAAUUGUCUAGUAUCUAUUUCACAAGUUUUCCAAAAUCUUUGUAGUUUUCGAGGACGCAUUGAAUUUAUGAAAAGGAUGCGCUUUUAAAAGGGCCAAG